UUUGCUGGUACAAGUUUGCUUCAAUGGGUGCAAGUCCACCCCAAGAAGACCCAAUAUAAGAAGUGUGUCAAUGAUUCUGCCUUUACAAAGUUAAGUGAUUACUUUUGGAUCAAUUGAACAAAAUGCUUAUCACUGUGGCUGCAUUGGUGCACAACUGCACUAAGAACUAUUGCCAAUUGAUUACUCUAUUUAGUAACAUGGAAAGGACAAAUUUCUACCUAUCCCAAUCUUAAACUCUAUUUCAAUGCCGCUCUCACAGUCGCAAUUUAAAGUGGCAUGAUUACUUGCACCACUUGCUACAAAAAUCUCUCAACCAAUUUGCACCUAAAAAGAUUCUAAGCGCUCCAUGUACUGUACUGACUUUAGAAUACAGUAGCUUAUUGGGCCUAAGUGUUCAUGAAAAAAUAAUUAUUAUUAUGUACGAUUUUAUUCGUAGAAAGUAUAUUUAUUAUUCUUGUAAAUCACUGUAACAUAAUGCAGUCUGACCAUAAACAUUGUGAUAAAAUAUAGGUAGGCUUUAGUUUUUACUCUGCCUCAUAGUUAACUUUAUUUGGCAGAAAUAAGAUGGCACAUAAAAGCUUAAAAGUGUACUUUAUGUGUGUGAGUGUUUCCCAAAUUGAGGGUCUGUGGCCAAAAUUGGUUGCAGGUCAAGUUUUAUUGGCUUGAAUAGAAUGAUAAUCGGUAUUAUUGAUCCAGCUCAUCAGGGGUACAAUUUCUUGUAUUUCUGGUAAUCAUGUUUGUUUUAUCGAUUUCAUGUCUGUUGUGUUCUUGAACAUGUUAUGGCGAUCGAUACAUGAUGUAUUUUAGUCAGUUUCGGGUUCCAUGGAGGACAAGAAAGUUAUCAUUGUGUUUUGAGAUUAAAAUAUCUGGGAAGAGCUAUCUUGACAUAAAAUACAAAAGACUACAUAAUGGCGCAAAAAGUCAGCUGUGAAAAGAAUCACAAAAAAAAAAAAAAAAA